rnacentral:rRNA from 1 species
ACGGAAGGCAGCAGUGAGGAAUAUUGGUCAAUGGGCGGAAGCCUGAACCAGCCAAGUCGCGUGAAGGAUGAAGGUAUUAUGUAUUGUAAACUUCUUUAGACGCAGAGAAAUAAGGGGCUCGAGAGCCCUGAUGCUAGUAUGCGUAGAAUAAGGAUCGGCUAACUCCGUGCCAGCAGCCGCGGUAAUACGGAAGAUGCGAGCGUUAUCCGGAUUUAUUGGGUUUAAAGGGAGCGUAGGCGGUCCUUUAAGUCAGCGGUCAAAUGUCAGCGCCCAACGCUGGCCUGCCGUUGAUACUGGAGGACUUGAAUACACACAAGGAAGGUGGAAUUCGUCGUAUAGCGGUGAAAUGCUUAGAUAUGACGAAGAACUCCGAUUGCGAAGGCAGCCUUCUGGAGUGCGAUUGACGCUGAGGCUCGAAAGCGCGGGUAUCAAACAGGAUUAGAUACCCUGGUA